CGCUGCCAGCAAGUUAGGCGCCGCGGCGUCGGUGAGCACUUCGGCGAGCGAGGUGACCGCGGAACGCCGGGCCUACUUGUUUGAGGAUCUCGACUCGGAUGUAGGCGACGCCACCAUCGCCGACUUGGGCGACGUCACCGUCGCAGAAGGCAGCGAUGUCACCAUUGCAGAAAAUGAGCAGAGAGACAUCGAAUUCACGUCG
rnacentral:ribozyme from 1 species